rnacentral:lncRNA from 1 species
UGGAACUGGAGUGAGAACAACAUGCUUGAUGAAACAUGUCAAGCUACGUUAUAUUGUAGUUGGAUCUCAAUAAGGACUGCCUAAUCAAAAGGGCCCGCAAGAAGAACUGGGUUAUUUCAUGAAGGCUGAGGUCCUUCAGCAGAAAUGUGGCAUAAAUAGAGUGCAGUGGAUAGUCCUGUGUAUAAGAGGAAAAUUUUAAAUUCAAUGUUCUCUGAAACUCCAAAACCAGAAAGAAACAAAAGGAGAAAUCAAGCUACAGAGGAGAGGUGAAACAGGACAGGAAUUCUCUCUCAGACAAGGGAAAUGUCCUUUCCAAGCACAUAAGGAAAUCUGUUUUGCAGCAGCAGGUUCACUCCACAUGGAAUCUCUGUACUUUUAUGACAUGUACAGUUGGUUGUAAUGCCAUACUGGGUAUCAUGUAUAACAUCAAAGAGCUAAGUAAGUAUAAAGGUAUGUUGUAUUUCUUCAGUUCAUGUCAACAAAAUCCUUUUCA